UACGAAGGGGCUAGCGUUGUUCGGAUUUACUGGGCGUAAAGCGCACGUAGGCGGAUCCUUAAGUCAGGGGUGAAAUCCCGGGGCUCAACCUCGGAACUGCCUUUGAUACUGGGGAUCUCGAGUCCGGGAGAGGUGAGCGGAACUGCGAGUGUAGAGGUGAAAUUCGUAGAUAUUCGCAAGAACACCAGUGGCGAAGGCGGCUCACUGGCCCGGUACUGACGCUGAGGUGCGAAAGCAUGGGGAGCGAACAGG
rnacentral:rRNA from 1 species